AUGCAUGAAACAGAGUCCUUUCUAUACUACUCCCCUCCAAAACAAGGAACUACCAAAAAAGAAAAAAGUGCCAGCACAACAUUUCUAUAUUUUCUAAGAAGUUCCUUCUACACAUCAGCAACGUUUGUACUGAAAGGAGUUCAUUCAUUCUGCCCAAGAGAAACUAUUCAGAUCACUGUGAAACCCCAGAUGAUCUCCCACGGUUCCUGAUGGUUGCCAUUUUGAAUGUGAUCAGCAACAAUAAUACGAAGUUUAAGAAGAAAAGUCAUGACAAAUUCAACUUAAAACUGUAAUUCAAACACAAAUUUGGAGUUUUAUGACAAUGACAUAACAAUUCAGACAAACAAAUAAUGCAAUUUCUGAAAACAGCAAUACUGAUCCUUCUAUUUGUAGAGGUGUCCCAACUUUUUUUAUGUAGCUCACUAGGUCAGUAUUACCAGCAAAUAGGACAAUGAUGCAUUGAUAAACACUCAUCCUCACUGGAAGAUGGAAAACUGCAUUUUCACAGGUCUCGGCACAUUUUCACAGCAAGAAACGACCUUACCUCAUUAAAAAUACAUUACUGCUUUGUUUAUCUGUUCAGAAAGAUGAUUUUUAAUGAGAUUCAUCUUAAAUUACUGUAUUGAGAGAAGCAGCGUAUUAGAUGGUACACAUGGAUUUCAGUCAUAUUUUCAGUGCAGUAAAUCCAACAAAACCCUCGAGUCAAACAAAAAAAUCAUAAUACACUAAAAAUUAAGAUUUAAAAAUCAUCAUCUUAUGGCUUUUAUUCCCCUUUGUGUGUAUUGACCUUGUUCUAAUAUGCAAGUCUUAGAGUUGGCAAUUCAUCCAAGUUUAUAAAGCGGCUCUUCAUUACAUUUUGUAUUUUUACA
rnacentral:lncRNA from 1 species